GACGAACGCUGGCGGCGUGCUUAACACAUGCAAGUCGAACGGAAAGGCCUCUUUCGGGGGGUACUCGAGUGGCGAACGGGUGAGUAACACGUGAGUAACCUGCCCUUGACUUUGGGAUAACUUCAGGAAACUGGGGCUAAUACCGGAUAGGAGCUCCUGCUGCAUGGUGGGGGUUGGAAAGUUUCGGCGGUUGGGGAUGGACUCGCGGCUUAUCAGCUUGUUGGUGGGGUAGUGGCUUACCAAGGCUUUGACGGGUAGCCGGCCUGAGAGGGUGACCGGCCACAUUGGGACUGAGAUACGGCCCAGACUCCUACGGGGGGCAGCAGUGGGGAAUAUUGCACAAUGGGUGGAAGCCUGAUGCAGCAACGCCGUGUGCGGGAUGACGGCCUUCGGGUUGUAAACCGCUUUCGCUCAUGACGAAGCUUUGUGUGACGGUAGUGGGUAAAGAAGCACCGGCUAACUACGUG
rnacentral:rRNA from 1 species